rnacentral:tRNA from 1 species
CAGCCGGGAGACGUUGCCGGUGACGGCGACGGCGUUCUGGCCGCCGUUCGAGACCAGCUUCAUCUGGCUGGCCGGCAGC